AUUGAACGCUGGCGGCAGGCUUAACACAUGCAAGACGAGCGGGGUGAUGGUGCUUGCACUAUCACUUAGCGGCGGACGGGUGAGUAAUGCUUAGGAAUCUGCCUAUUAGUGGGGGACAACAUCUCGAAAGGGAUGCUAAUACCGCUUACGUCCUACGGGAGAAAGCAGGGGAUCACUUGUGACCUUGCGCUAAUAGAUGAGCCUAAGUCGGAUUAGCUAGUUGGUGGGGUAAAGGCCUACCAAGGCGACGAUCUGUAGCGGGUCUGAGAGGAUGAUCCGCCACACUGGGACUGAGACACGGCCCAGACUCCUACGGGAGGCAGCAGUGGGGAAUAUUGGACAAUGGGGGGAACCCUGAUCAGCCAUGCCGCGUGUGUGAAGAAGGCCUUAUGGUUGUAAAGCACUUUAAGCGAGGAGGAGGCUCUUUUGGUUAAUACCCAAGAUGAGUGGACGUUACUCGCAGAAUAAGCACCGGCUAACUCUGUGCCAGCCGCCGCCGUAA
rnacentral:rRNA from 1 species